rnacentral:rRNA from 1 species
GAUGAACGCUAGCGGGAGGCCUAACACAUGCAAGCCGAGCGGUAUUUGUCCUUCGGGCCCGAGAGAGCGGCGUACGGGUGCGGAACACGUGUGCAACCUGCCUUUAUCUGGGGGAUAGCCUUUCGAAAGGAAGAUUAAUACCCCAUAAUAUAUCGAAUGGCAUCAUUCGAUAUUGAAAACUCCGGUGGAUAGAGAUGGGCACGCGCAAGAUUAGAUAGUUGGUGAGGUAACGGCUCACCAAGUCAGUGAUCUUUAGGGGGCCUGAGAGGGUGAUCCCCCACACUGGUACUGAGACACGGACCAGACUCCUACGGGAGGCAGCAGUGAGGAAUAUUGGACAAUGGGUGAGGGCCUGAUCCAGCCAUCCCGCGUGAAGGACUAAGGCCCUAUGGGUUGUAAGCUUCUUUUAUACUGGGAUAAACCUACUUACGUGUAAGUAGCUGAAGGUACAGUAUGAAUAAGCACCGGCUAACUCCGUG